CCUUGCCAGUACUUCCAUUACGCCGUUGCCACCGACUGAUUCAGGAAAAAAAACAGCUUAAGUUCAUCAGGAUUAUCGUUACCACCUUUAACAAAAGAUUUACUUUCUCAAUCAGGAAUAACUCUUAAGAACCGACACCAAUUUAUUGCAUUUUGGGCUGCAUAUUUGUUAAAUUAUUAAAAUUAAAAACUAAUGGAUCUCUAUCACCAAAAGACUAUGCAGCUUUUGCCGCAAAUAUAGCUGCUGCAUUCUCAAACUUAUCUACUGACGUUUAUGGAACUAAGGAAUCUAAAACCAGAAAAUAAAAAAGGUACUAAACGAAACCAAGAAGGAGAUCCCAAACAAAAAAAAUUACCUUCAGAACAAGCUGUGCUUCUUCCAUCAUCGUACGUAUUACUGUUAUAAGUUCAAACAGAUAUUGAUAUCCAGACCGCGCUUCAAGAAUUGGAGAAAGAUUAAAAUGAGGGUGUUAAUGUACUUCAAAAAAUUAUUAACCAGAUCACAGACAUGAUUACGAAAUAUUCUGCAUUACAAUAUUACGAAAUGGUUGUUUUUGAAUUUCUUAAUUUCAAAGAUUUGAUAGAAACAUCAGUUUUUGAAAAAUUAAAAAUAAUGAUUGAUAAAUUAUUGAAUUAUUAUUCAAUAAAAAACAAUGAUGAACGUUCCAAACUUCAAACAAUCACUAAUAUGUGUAGUGAACUGACUUCAAAAAAACUUUCUACAAGUAAAAAAAUAAAUCAGCUAUUUGUUGUGCAAGAGGUGAUGUCAUCAACAUCUACUCUAAUAACUAAAGAAAAUGAAGCUCCUCGAGCAGUCAUUUAUUUAAAUAAAAAUAAUAUAUCAACAGCGUACAUAGUGGCAGAUGAGAAUAUAAUGAUGGAAAUAAAAAAUCCAUCAACAGAAAAGGUUGUAAUUGGAAUUUUUCUGCAUACUAUGUCUGGCACCGAGAUUACCCACAAGCAUAAAUGAACAUUCUUCGUUAUUUAGAGCACGAAAUAUUGGGACUUAAAAUCAAUAUUAAAAAUUCAUUAAUACUAAAGUUCAAACAAAAACUUGAGCCGUCAUUGCAAGACCAGUAAGAUGAUUUAUGCUUUGUUGAAUCAUAUUCUUAUACUUUUUUAUAUUUUCAUUUUUACUUUUUCAUUUAUUAUCGUAAGUUCAUUGAUGGAAACAAUAAUAAAUGUAGAACUUUCAAUUAAUGAGUAUUCAUUCUUUAAGAGCCAUUUUUAACAUGUCUUCUUAACACGUGUUUCAGGAUUUCAUAAAUUAUAAAACACACUUUUUUCGAUAAAAUACACGUGUUGUGCUAACACACCUACACGUGCUAAA